rnacentral:misc_RNA from 1 species
UUAUAUUUACCCAUCCUCGUCUUGGUACCUGCUGUGUGAAUUCUAUCUCGUAUAAAUUUAGUAAUAAUAAAAUGAGUGUAAUUUCUCCAUGACAGUCAUCUAACACAUCAUCUGAAACUAUUUUCCAUGUUCUUUUGAAUGCCUUAAUUAACCAUUCUCGUCAAUUCUUGUUACCAUCUUUAGCAACUUAUGCCAAGUUAGAUGGAGUUAGAGCACAUUGUCUCCAAAAUUGUAGAUUGUCUGAAGCAAACCUGAAGAAUGUGAUGUGACUAUCACCAGGGACAAUGAAAACUUCUAUCAAUUUUCUGUAUGUGACAACAGUUUUCAGAAACCUCUUCUUCUGCUGAACAGAGUAUGCUUGUUUCCAAUAAACAGACAUUUAGAAUAUGUAACACCUGGUCUACUCAUGGACAGUGUGGGUACAUUGUGCAAGGAUGUCAACAAUAGUGUCCUUUAAUGGCAAGUCAGGUGAAACCUUGAGGUUACAUCUUCUCUUAAGUUUGAAUGAGAAUGGACAGUCACAUGGUUAGUGCUAGUUGCUCUAGGUAAAUUUGACAUUACUAACUUAAAUAAGUAAGGUGAUAUUUAUCCAGUCUGGUAUAUGAAAACUCACCUCAGUAAACAUGGAAAACUCAGAGAGAAAAAUAACAUGAGAUAUAACUCUACAGUGAAGGCAAUAGUCCAUUGUGGCAAGGAAAGUAUACUUUCACUGUGUAUGUAUUAAUAAAAAUUAUUUAUUGUGAUUAUAUAUUUGUGUCCAGUCUGUUUGUUUCUUAUGAGCUCAGUUAAUUAGAGAAUUCAGAAUUACUUUACAGUAAAUAUCUUGACAAGUCUCCUGUUUUUUUGUAAAUCUAUCUUGUCACUCUUAGGGGAAAUCAGUGCUAUCUUAAUUUUUGAAAAUACAGCAAUUAUAAUAGAUUCUCUUA